CGCUGUGCUACACUCAAUCUUACACCAAGGACAAAACUUUACAACAAUUCCUAUUUCCUCAUUAAUAAUAGAGCUUUAUUGGAUGCAGCUUGACGGCCAGAUGGUCACAUCACAAGCUAGAGAUGCAAUAAAUCCACAGCACCCAGAUGAGGGCCAACGCCCUUAAAUCCACAGCACCCAGAUGAGGGCCAACGCCCUUAAAUCCACAUCACCCAGAUGAGGGCCAACGUCCUUAAAUCCACAUCACCCAGAUGAGGGCCAACGUCCUUAAAUCCACAUCACCCAGAUGAGGGCCAACGCCCUUAAAUCCACAGCACCCAGAUGAGGGCCAACGUCCUUAAAUCCACAGCACCCAGAUGAGGGCCAACGUCCUUAAAUCCACAUCACCCAGGUGAGGGCCAACGUCCUUAAAUCCACAUCACCCAGGUGAGGGCCAACGUCCUUAAAUCCACAUCACCCAGAUGAGGGCCAACGCCCUUAAAUCCACAGCACCCAGAUGAGGGCCAACGUCCUUAAAUCCACAUCACCCAGGUGAGGGCCAACGUCCUUAAAUCCACAUCACCCAGAUGAGGGCCAACGUCCUUAAAUCCACAUCACCCAGAUGAGGGCCAACACCCUUAAAUCCACAUCACCCAGAUGAGAGCCAACGCCCUUAAAUCCACAUCACCCAGAUGAGAGCCAACGCCUUUAGCACCCGUAGCGAGCGCAGGAUGGCGGAUGGGGGGAGCACCAACCGCGGGCAGUAAAUCAGCCAGCAUUUGGCCUCAAAGGGGCUUGCUAAUUAAAUUUAUCGUUCCCUUUAAGGAAGCUUGCAUUUCGGGGGGGGGGGGGGGGGG